rnacentral:rRNA from 1 species
UCAUAUAGCCAUAUCACCCUGCAGCCCAUGACUGGUUACUCACUGAAGCUAAGCAGGGCUGAGCUUGUUUAAUGCCUUAAUGGGAGACCACAUGGAAAAACUAGGGUGCUGUUGGAA